GGAAGUAAAAGUCGUAACAAGGUUUCCGUAGGUGAACCUGCGGAAGGAUCAUUAAAGAGUAAGGGUGCUCAGCGCCCGACCUCCAACCCUUUGUUGUUAAAACUACCUUGUUGCUUUGGCGGGACCGCUCGGUCUCGAGCCGCUGGGGAUUCGUCCCAGGCGAGCGCCCGCCAGAGUUAAACCAAACUCUUGUUAUUUAACCGGUCGUCUGAGUUAGAAUUUUGAAUAAAUCAAAACUUUCAACAACGGAUCUCUUGGUUCUCGCAUCGAUGAAGAACGCAGCGAAAUGCGAUAAGUAAUGUGAAUUGCAGAAUUCAGUGAAUCAUCGAAUCUUUGAACGCACAUUGCGCCCCUUGGUAUUCCGAGGGGCAUGCCUGUUCGAGCGUCAUUACACCACUCAAGCUAUGCUUGGUAUUGGGCGUCGUCCUUAGUUGGGCGCGCCUUAAAGACCUCGGCGAGGCCACUCCGGCUUUAGGCGUAGUAGAAUUUAUUCGAACGUCUGUCAAAGGAGAGGAACUCUGCCGACUGAAACCUUUAUUUUUCUAGGUUGACCUCGGAUCAGGUAGGGAUACCCGCUGAACUUAAGCAUAUCAAUAAGCGGAGGA
rnacentral:rRNA from 1 species